AGAGUUUGAUCCUGGCUCAGGAUGAACGCUGGCGGUAUGCUUAACACAUGCAAGUCGUACGGGAAAAUUUAUUUUCCUAGUGGCGGACGGGUGCGUAACACGUAAGAACCUACCUUUUGGAGGGGGAUAACAUCGGGAAACUGAUGCUAAUACCCCGUAAUAGCUGAGGAGUGAAAGCGGUUUUCCGCGCCAAGAGAGGGGCUUGCGGCUGAUUAGCUAGUUGGUGGGGGUAACGGCCUCCCAAGGCCACGAUCAGUAGCUGGUUUGAGAGGACGAUCAGCCACACUGGGACUGAGACACGGCCCAGACUCCUACGGGAGGCAGCAGUGAGGAAUUUUCCACAAUGGGCGAAAGCCUGAUGGAGCAAUACCGCGUGGAGGAAGAAGGUUCGUGGAUCGUAAACUCCUUUUCUCAGAGAAGAAGAUCUGACGGUAUCUGAGGAAUAAGCUCCGGCUAACUUUGUGCCAGCAGCCGCGGUAAUACAAGGGGAGCAAGCGUUAUCCGGAAUGAUUGGGCGUAAAGCGUCUGUAGGUGGUUCUUUAAGUCUACUGUCAAAUACGUUGGCUCAACCAACGGCAGGCAGUAGAGUACUAAAG
rnacentral:rRNA from 1 species